AUAAAUACCCUAGACCUUCAAUAACGUUUUGCUGGUGACACGAAGGAGCAUCAGCCCUCCCCACCUCUCUUGUAUCCUUUAUUCCGGUCUCCUCACGUCCUUCGGUAGCUCUGUUUGACUGUUGCAGCUGGACCCCGACAAGUGGUGCCUGAACAGGGACCUGAAGGAGAGGGAGAAGGUGACGGCCACCACGUCAAGAAGAGAAAGCCCUGGCCAGGGUAACGUGAGAAGACGCGCAAGAGAAUAGGCACGCAAGCAAUGUGGACAUGGGGUUUGCUUGUGUUUUUACAGAAGAUCAAUGCUUGAUCUGGCCGCCCAGAAAAUGAAUUCAGAUACGAUAUGAAGGAGAACUUCCAACAUCAACAUCCUCUGGAAGAGUCAUUCCAGAAGGUGACCAUCAAAAACCUCAACAAAAGUCUGCAUGUCAAACACGGAAAACUGAAGCCCACUAAAUAAUAUUACAACAACUCAUGAGCCAAAAGUUGCACAAGUCAUCUUUUUGUGUAGCAAGAAAUUCCUCUAUCAGUGAACUGUUGAAGAAGAAUUUAAUAGGCAUAAGACUUUCUCCUACGGUGUUUACUAAUAUCUCAGGCAUAAACAUCACUCUUCCCCCUAAAGUGCUUGCUCCUGAUGCCCAAUUAAAUUUACCUGUUAGUAUUACUAUAAUUACUGAUUGUGUAUGUAUUAAUUGUACUCAUGUAGCCUCUUACUGCAAUUGUGCAAUCAUUGUAAAAUGGUCUUCUAGAUAUAGACUUCCAAAUAGUUGGGUAUUUUUGUGUGAUAAUGAAACAUAUUAAGCCCUUUCUCCACACUAUCAAGGUGUUGGUAGUGUAAGAUGCAUUCUUCCUGCUCUAAUAGACCAUCCUGAAUAUAAGCACAAGAGACUUCUCCGAGUUCUGCCAUCUGACUGUGAUGAAAACUUGAAACUUGGAGGUCCUUCCUCUGUUGCAGUUGCAGCUGCAUUCCUCCUGCCAGUUCCUAGACUUGUCAUUGGAAUGCUAAAGGAGAUAUCUAAGCUAGCCUGCGCUUAUAGGAAAACAAACUUGACUGCUUCUGUAUUAUCUGAACUCAACCAAGAACUGAGAGAAUUGCGAGCUGCAGUGCUUCAGAAUCAAGCUGCUGUGAACUGUCUGAUGUUAAAAGAGCAUGUAAGAUGUGAUCAGUUUCCAAGAAUGUGCUGUUUCAAUUUCUCAAACUACCCAAAAUCAAUUAGAUGAUAUCCCUCAUAUUGUCAAUAAGUUUUUACAAAUGCCUAAGCUAUCUAACUAGUUUUCUUAAUUUCAUUAGAUAUAACUAGUAAUUGUAAAUCUGCCUUUGUUAUGUAUCUGUAUUCCUAUUCUGUUAAUGUGUGUAUGCAAUUUAACUAGUAGUUUGUUAAAACCUAUAUAUAUAUAUUCAAGUUAUGUCUGUCUUUUGACAUGUUCUAUCUCAGCCAUGUAAUGCAUAUUUCCUGCAAAACUGAGAUACCAUAUAAUCCACAAGGCCAAAGCAUCGUAGAAUACGCCCAUGGUACCCUUAAAGCUCAAUUGGAAAAAACAAAAAAGGGGGAGUUAUAUCCCCAGUCACCACAGAACUAUUUAAAUCAUAUCUUAUUUGCAGCUAAAACUGCAUCUGAUAUAUUAAAUCAGAUAAAAGACGUGUUCAGGGACCCCCUGAAUAGUCUCUGGCACGCUGUCACACCUCUCUUAACCCUAAGCAUUUUAUGUCUUCUAUUGCUGUUACUAGGGCCUUGUGUCCUUCGCAGCAUGUGGAAACUCAUCCAACAAGCCUUAAGAGGCCUGCAUCGUUUGAAAUUGCAGAUGUCCCCCCCCCCCCUGCUGACUUGUAAAUCAUAAGAUCUAAAGUCAAGUAUGGUAGCCAAUUGUAAAUCAUAAGAUCUAAAGUCAAGUAUGGUAGCCAAUGAUGGGUAAGAUAUGGUUGAAUUGUAAAUACCAACCUAAGACAGGGAGUAGUUGACAGAGGACUAUAGCCCCAUAACGGGUAAGGAUUUACUUCAACCAUACAACCUAAGACAGGCACAUACCUUGACCCAAUCUGAGUUAGGCUAGUUAUUUUAUUAAAGAUAAAAGGGGGAGAUGUUGAGAGCCGGGGCUAUGUCCCUUCCCCCAUGUCUGAAUGCAGCAUGGGAAAGCACAAACUUGAGAACAGCUGAUGCAGUCCAUGGAAGUUAUCUGCCCACAAAAACAUGUUUUGUCCUUGAGGACGAGCCAAGACUCCUCACUCUGAAAAUAGGGAGACCGUGAGGAUGUGUGAAAACACCGCCCCUGCUUCUGGCCUGCUUUCUCCCACUUGCGGAUGUGGCAGGAAUGGAGAACAAAGAACACUCUGUUUAUGCACUCCAUGAGCAACUAAUGGAACCCUGCUGAGCCUACCUUUGCCCAGUUACUGCUGACGUCAAUACUGUGCUUGAUUGUUUAUUGGAUAAUGCCAUUUCCUGGAAUAAUGAGCUGGAGCGUCAGCCCCUCCCCACCUCUCUUGUAUCCUUUAUUCCGGUCUCCUCACGUCCUUCAGUAGCUCUGUUCGACUGUUGCGCCUGGACCGCGACAUUUGUUGAGUAUUUUUGCGUGACCAGUAUAUUCUACACUGCUUAAGUAGGACUGACAAAGGGUUUUGAGAUCUUGGAAUGAAAGGUACUCUGUGUUUUUUGAGGCUAUGUCUAAAAUACCAUGGAGUUCCCACCUUGUGCUGUUGUGAUGCUUAAUCAUCACGUGGGGGAGGAAGCUCAAGCAGCCUGUGGAGGGGCCCACUCAUAAAGGAAAGGAUACCUGAAUGGGAAGGCAGGCUCUCUCCCUAGCACAUGUUGAGCUCACAGUGAAUAGCUGGCACCAAUUUGCCAGCUGUGAAAGUGAGCCAUCUGGCUUCUAGUCAAGGUUCUCCUGCUGAUACUUUGUCUCCAUUGAGUCCUGUCCAGUUUGAAGAUUCAUGAGCAAAUAAUGGUUGUUUGGUUUUAAUCCAUUAAAUUUGGGGUGUUUCUUUUGUGAA